rnacentral:tRNA from 1 species
CAAAGGAUAGUUUAAAUAACACAUUAGUUUUGGAUAUCAAAUAUAAGAAUUCUCUUUCCUUUGA